UACAGAGGUCUCAAGCGUUGUUCGGAUUCAUUGGGCGUAAAGGGUGCGUAGGCGGCGAGGCAAGUCUGGUGUGAAAUCCCGGGGCUCAACCCCGGAACUGCACUGGAUACUGCUUUGCUAGAGUACUGGAGAGGGAACUGGAAUUUACGGUGUAGCAGUGAAAUGCGUAGAUAUCGUUUGGAACGCCAAUGGUGAAAACAGGUUGCUGGGAGUGUGCUGACCGCUGAGAACACGGAAAGCCAGGGGAGCAAACGGG
rnacentral:rRNA from 1 species